rnacentral:rRNA from 1 species
UUCUGUGAAGCCGGGCUGUAAGGCAUCCGGUGGAGAGAUCACUAGCGAGAAUGAUGACAUGAGUAGCGACAAAGAGUGUGAGAGACACUCUCGCCGAAAGUCCAAGGGUUCCUGCUUAAAGCUAAUCUGAGCAGGGUAAGCCGGCCCCUAAGGCGAGGCCGAAAGGCGUAGUCGAUGGGAACCAGGUCAAUAUUCCUGGGCCAUGUGGUGGUGACGGAUCGCAAAGGUCGUUCUUCCUUAUCGGAUUGGAAGGGCUGCUGAGCGGUUCCUGGAAAUAGCCCCACUUUGAGACCGUACCCUAAACCGACACAGGUGGACUGGUAGAGAAUACCAAGGCGCUUGAGAGAACGAUGUUGAAGGAACUCGGCAAAAUACCUCCGUAAGUUCGCGAGAAGGAGGCCCAGUUUCAACGCAAGUUUUGGCUGGGGGCACAAACCAGGGGGUGGCGACUGUUUACUAAAAACACAGGGCUCUGCGAAGUCGCAAGACGACGUAUAGGGUCUGACGCCUGCCCGGUGCCUGAAGGUUAAAAGGAGGGGUGAGAGCUCUGAAUUGAAGCCCAGGUAAACGGCGGCCGUAACUAUAACGGUCCUAAGGUAGCGAAAUUCCUUGUCGGGUAAGUUCCGACCUGCACGAAUGGCGUAACGACUUCCCCGCUGUCUCCAACAUCGACUCAGCGAAAUUGAAUUGCCUGUCAAGAUGCAGGCUUCCCGCGGUUAGACGGAAAGACCCCGUGCACCUUUACUACAGCUUCACACUGGCAUCAGGCCAUGCAUGUGCAGGAUAGGUGGUAGGCUUCGAAGCAGGAACGCCAGUUUCUGUGGAGCCUCCCUUGAGAUACCACCCUUGCAUUGCUUGAUGUCUAACCGCGAUCCCUUAUCGGGUUCCGGGACCCUGUGUGGCGGGUAGUUUGACUGGGGCGGUCGCCUCCUAAAGCGUAACGGAGGCGCGCGAAGGUUGGCUCAGAGCGGUCGGAAAUCGCUCGUUGAGUGCAAUGGCAGAAGCCAGCCUGACUGCAAGACUGACAAGUCGAGCAGAGUCGAAAGACGGCCAUAGUGAUCCGGUGGUCCCAAGUGGGAGGGCCAUCGCUCAACGGAUAAAAGGUACGCCGGGGAUAACAGGCUGAUACUGCCCAAGAGUCCAUAUCGACGGCAGUGUUUGGCACCUCGAUGUCGGCUCAUCUCAUCCUGGGGCUGGAGCAGGUCCCAAGGGUAUGGCUGUUCGCCAUUUAAAGAGGUACGUGAGCUGGGUUUAGAACGUCGUGAGACAGUUCGGUCCCUAUCUGCCGUGGGUGUAGGAUACUUGAGAGGAGUUGCCCCUAGUACGAGAGGACCGGGGUGAACGAUCCACUGGUGGACCAGUUGUCGUGCCAACGGCAGUGCUGGGUAGCUAUGAUCGGACAGGAUAACCGCUGAAGGCAUCUAAGCGGGAAGCCCCCCUCAAAACAAGGUAUCCCUGAGGGCCGUGGAAGACCACCACGUCGAUAGGCCGGAGGUGUAAGCGCAGCAAUGCGUUCAGCUGACCGGUACUAAUGGCCCGAUAGGCUUGAUCCGAUCCAG